rnacentral:misc_RNA from 1 species
AACCCUUCAAGCUUUGCUUGGUGUUGGGCGUCUUUGUCCCCGCCUCGGCGUGGGGACUCGCCUUAAAAACAUCGGCGUCGGUAGUUUGCCAGCCUAGAGCGCAGCAGAGUUCGCGUCUCGAAGCUUGGCCAUCCGCCAGCCGCAACCACACCCCAAA